CCCAGACUCCUACGGGAGGCAGCAGUGGGGAAUAUUGCACAAUGGGGGAAACCCUGAUGCAGCGACGCCGCGUGAGUGAAGAAGUAUUUCGGUAUGUAAAGCUCUAUCAGCAGGGAAGAAAAUGACGGUACCUGAUUAAGAAGCCCCGGCUAACUACGUGCCAGCAGCCGCGGUAAUACGUAGGGGGCAAGCGUUAUCCGGAUUUACUGGGUGUAAAGGGAGCGUAGACGGUGAUGCAAGUCAGAAGUGAAAGCCCGGGGCUCAACUCCGGGACUGCUUUUGAAACUGUGUGACUGGAGUGCAGGAGAGGUAAGCGGAAUUCCUGGUGUAGCGGUGAAAUGCGUAGAUAUUAGGAGGAACACCAGUGGCGAAGGCGGCUUACUGGACUGUAACUGACGUUGAGGCUCGAAAGCGUGGGGAGCAAACAGGAUUAGAUACCCCGGUA
rnacentral:rRNA from 1 species